GCGGUCUCAUAUUUAAUCCCUUGUCACUGUGCUUAUACGAGCAGAAAUUGAUGGUUGCUUGUAUUUUUCUUAAAAAUACAGAUCUAUUUCUGAGACAAGCAAACUCAAGGGAGAGCUUUUGAAUUAACAGGAGGAACGAGGAGAGUUCUACAAGGCCGAUGAGAAGUAUGCAUUACUCAUCUAAAUUAUACCAG